AUUAUUAAAAGAAAUUGACUUGAUCAGCAAGUUGGUCUUAACAGCUGGUGCAGGGUGCUCACAACAUGAGAUGGGUGUGUAAAACAUUAGAGAUGGAAAGAAUGAAGAAAAACAAUGACAAGAUAAUUCAUGGAAAAAAUUUAGAAACCCUUCUCCUAUCGAAGACUAGAAGUGGCCAAGCAUUGUCCUGCUGUCCAAAACUUCAUUGAGAGAUGACCUGCUCUGUUCUGUGAAGCUCAGAUCAAAGAAGAGUUCAGAAGGAUAACAACAACAAUACAUCUGGGGUGGACCUUUUUCUCAAAACUGGACCUCGACACCACCAAAUUUCUGGAGAUAUUUAAGACAAAGAGAGGCAGGCGUUGCAGGCACGAAGAUAAGGCCCAUACUAGAGUCACUCA